UACGUAGGGUGCAAGCGUUAUUCGGAAUUACUGGGCGUAAAGGGUGCGUAGGCGGUUCGUUAAGUCUGUUGUGAAAUCCCCGGGCUCAACCUGGGAAUGGCAAUGGAUACUGGCGGGCUAGAGUGUGGCAGAGGAUGGUGGAAUUCCCGGUGUAGCGGUGAAAUGCGUAGAGAUCGGGAGGAACACCGGUGGCGAAGGCGGCUUCCUGGUCUGCAACUGACGCUGUGGCGCGAAAGCUAGGGGAGCAAACGGG
rnacentral:rRNA from 1 species